ensembl:lncRNA
GGAGGGAAAGAAAAGAAAGAAUCUAACUAUCUGGAGACAGUAUAGAGCCUCUUCUCUCAUCCUCUCUGUAACUACCCAAGAAUGGCUUAUGUAGGUUUUUUUUUUUUUUUUUUUUUUUUUUUUCCUUUCUGCAUCUAUGACAUAUGGAGGCCGGCAGCUACAGCUCUGAUUCGACCCCAGCCUGGGAACUUCCAUAUGCUGCAGGUGCAGCCCUAAAAAGAAAAAAAAAAUCCUGGGUUUGUAAUGGGCUCUUGCUGACCUCCUAUGAAGGUUCAGGUGUGAUGCUAUUUCACUAACCCACCAAGUCUUGCAGGAGUCCUCAAGAUUUUUCAAUGUGACUGUUACAUGUUAGGGUAAUUCAGGGACCCCAAAGAUCCUUCAAUUAGGCCUUAGGAUUCUAGGCAGGCCAUGUGUCCUGGUGGCCGGCCCUGCCAAGCAAUGAUGAGCAGGCAGCAACACUGAACCCUGGAAGACAUCUGAUGGAGCUCAGGUUGGGCUCGGGCCCUGACCCUCUUCCAGAGCGCCCUGGGAAACCCUCAUGCCCAGGCCGUGCUUCGUCUUAGGGUAAAAGCCUCGUCUUAGGGUUUGCCAACUGCAUGCUUUCUCCACCUGGUCCCCGGUAUGGGUCCUAGACCUGACACACUGUGACACCUCCAAGAGGGGAGGGGAGCAGCAGGAGUGAUGGAUAAGAAGGUCCUGCCUGGGCCAGGCUGUGUGGACCCGGGCCAUGGCGGGAGCGGGCUUCGAGAUGUAGGGGUGGGCUCUUAGGUGUAGAAUGCGCCCUGUGCUUGGACCCAGACUGGAACCCGUGACUCAAGAUCCUCUUCUCCCUGAAGUCCUGUCUUGCUGAGACUCUGGAGUGAGCAGGCAUUUGUUCAGAUGUGCAGUCAUGAUAGGAAGAUCCGGUCACUUGAUGCCAGGAGGGUGAGGGGUGCAGGGGAGAGGGGGCCAGAGCAGCAGAGGACAGCCAUAGAGGUGAUGAAGGACGAGAGGGGGGGUCCUGGGUUCCCACGUGGGGGCUGUGCCCUCGACCUCCGGCCUCUUUUCUGGGACCUGCACUGAGGAGGGUCCAGGAAGGGGCAGAGCCAGUGAUUCUCGACACCAGUCCCUUCAGAAAAGGUGGCUGCUCGCUUACGCUUGAAAUUCCUUUGAGGGGAGACCACAUUUUUUUUUUCUGCUUUGAGGAAUUGGGCUGAAAAUACAACCCUGCCCUGGGAGCAGAAGUUACAGUCAUCAUCGGAAACAAAGGCCUCGUUUUAGGUCCAGGGCAGCAGCGGGCCACGUCCCACCCACCGCCGGGUUUUGUGUCCCGGAGCCUGGAACUGUUUCUCAAUUUCAAAAUGGUUGGAAAAGAAAUCAAAAGGGCAGCAUUUCACAAUGUGGAAAUUAUGAGGUUCUUUUCAGUGUCCGAGGACGACGCCUCACUGGGGUGCGGCCACGCUCGUGGGCUCCCGUGUGUGCAGGGACAGAGCGGAGCGGUCGUGGCAGAGACUGUACGUGGCACUCUUCUGCCUCACACCCCACCUCCGCCCGCUGCACAGCGCAGGGGUGCGGCGCUGAUGCGAAGGCAGUUUGAGUGCCAGGUGCAUCGCCAAAACAUGACCUUUUUAAAAAUGUUUGUUAGUUUGUUUGUUUUUGUCUUUUUGCCUUUUUUCCAGGGCCGCCCCCGCUGCACAUGUCCCAGGCUAGGCUAGGGGUUGAAUCAGAGCUGUAGCCGCCGGCCCACCCCACAGCCACUGCAUCUGCAACCUAUACCACAGCUCACGGCAAUGCAAGAUCCUUAACCCACUGAGCAAGGCCAGGGACCGAACCCACAACCUCAUGGUUCCGAGUUGGAUUCGUUAACCACUGAGCCACGACAGGAGCGCCAGAGAAUAUUUUCAAAGUUGAGAAAACACUAAGUCAGUACAACCUGAAGAGGCUCUGUGAAGAUGUGCAGAUUGUGUGAUGGUGAUAAAAAUGCAGGCGGAAAAGAGAAAGGCUCUGUCAGGUAAAUCUAUAGUCGGUCCUACACACCCACAGGUUCUGCAUCCACAGAUUCCACCAACUACAGAUGGGAAGUACCUGAAAAAAAAAAACCUCCAGAAAAUUGCCAAAAACAAAACUUGACUUUGCCAUGCACUGGAACUGUUUACAUAGCAUUUAUAUUGUAGUUAUAACUAUCGACAUAGAUUUUUACAUCGCAGUAGGUAUUACAAGUAAUCCAGAGAUGAGUUAAAGUAUACGGGAGGAUAUAUGAGGUUAUAGGCAAGGACUACACAAUUUAAUUUUUUAAUUUUUUUAAUUUUAAUUUUUUUCAAAGCACUUAUGUCCACCAUCUCAUCUAAUUUUCUUAACUUUUCAGGUUGGAAUUACUGGCUUUUUUUGAAAAUGAGCAGUUGAUGGGGGAGGUGGGAGGUGGUUUUAUGAGAGGGGCCCACUGCCAAGACAAUGCAAUUUUUUUUUUUUUUUUUUGGCUGCACCUUCAGCAUGCGGAUGUUCCCAAGCUAGGGAUCAAACUGGAGCCACAACAGUGACAAUGCCAGACCCUUAGCCACUAGGCCCCCAGGGAAUUCCCAAUACAAUCUGAUACGAGAGACUUGAGCAUCCUUGGAUUUUGGUAUCUGGAGGUGGAGGAGGGAGGUAUCCUGGAACCAGUCCCCUGCGGGUACAGAGGAACGCCUGCACAAAGUUUCUGAGAAUGUGAGGUGUUUAUAAAGACUUCCUUGCACUCAUUGUGUGAUUCAUCGGCAGGUACUUCUGAGGAAAACAUUUGACUACCGCGCCUUUUAAAACUCAGUGUCAGUACUGGCCUUCCACUGUCACAGAGUUAAUAAUUUUCAGUUGUGUGACGUUUUGUUCCAAAAAGAAGCAAACCCUUGCUUGCCCUUCCACACAGCAGUCCAGUGGUUUAGCAAUGGUAAAAUUAUAUUGAGAUUUUUUUUUUCAAUUCGGGGUCAAGAUGAAAUUUUUCUGAAUGAGGACUUUUCCUCAACCACUGUUAUAAACUCUGAAUGACCUUGGAAAUCAGCUCGGGUUGCGGACUUGAAAAUGCUUCUUCAUGAGUUGAGCCUAAAACUAUAAGGCAAAAUUGAGUUUAUGCAGAAUUUAUACUGCAACGAAGUCAUGUUGAUAACAACUAAAGUUGUUUUUUGUUUGUUUGUUUUGUCUUUGAGGGCUGCACCGGGGGCAUAUGGAGGUUCCCAGGCUAGGGGUCGAGUUGGAGCAGUAGCCGCCAGCCUGUACCACAGCCACAGCAACUCGGGAUCUGAGCCACGUCUGUAACCUACACCACAGCUCAUGGCAAUGCCAGAUCCUUAACCCACUGGGCAAGUCCAGGAAUUGAACCUGCAUCCUCAUGGAUGUUAGUCAGAUUUGUUAACCACUGAGCCACAACGGGAACUCCAAUGACUAAGGUUGUUUGAAUCACAAGUAAUAUCAAGUUGCUAUAUUCAUUUCCUAUGCUGUCAAAACCUGAAAUGAGAAAUAACCUCUCCAUUCCCCACAGAUGUGCAGAGAAUGCAUCUUCUGAGCUCAGCCUACAGUUACACCCGAGUUUUUUUGGCUCUCGAUGGACAUGCAAAGUCCCAUAUUUCCAAAUCCCUCUAAUUGUGUCGUCUCGGAGUUUACAUUAAACCUCCAAUCGAAGUGAUUAA